UGUCCGAGCCAGCUGCGCGCUUUCCUGCGGUCAUGAUUACGUCGCGCCUGCAUGCGUUGUUUCGGUGCACGUUGUGCGUCAUUUUCUCUGUGCUCACGUACAGUGCAAGUGCGUCUGUUAAACGUGCAGUAUUGUGACCAUCUGAUACGCGUGCUCCGUGGCCACGCCUCAAAAGCUAUGGCGACAAGUCACACCAGCCCGUGCGUUGUCUCUUCAAGGACAAAAGCACCGCCAUGAACAGGUACAUCGAAUAGUGCGAAACGACCUCGAAGUCACCAGCUUCACGGUGCGGGUCGCACCUCACAAAUUUUAUUUUUUCGAACGAGAAUGGAAAUUCUAUCCCAUUGGUUGACAUCUUCUGGGAAGUAAGCAUGGCUGCACUUCGCCAGAGAACACUCUGGUGUGAGCGGCUGUAACGGGCAGUGAACAAAAGCGCCGGGAUGAAGCGACCAAAACACCUUCACCCAUGGAUACGGGAACUCUCAAACUGGAGUGUAACGCCGUCCCCCCCCCCCCCCCC